rnacentral:rRNA from 1 species
GUGCAGCAGGCGCGAAACCUCCGCAAUGCGCGCAAGCGCGACGGGGCCAUCCCGAGUGCCGCUCGCUGAGGGCGGCUUUUCUCCGGUGUAAGUAGCCGGAGGAAUAAGGAGAGGGCAAGUCUGGUGUCAGCCGCCGCGGUAAUACCAGCUCUCCGAGUGGUAGGGACGAUUAUUGGGCCUAAAGCGUCCGUAGCCGGCUUGACAAGUCUCCCGUUAAAUCCAGCGGCCUAACCGCUGGGCUGCGGGAGAUACUGUCAAGCUUGGGGCGGGAGAGGCCAGCGGUAUUCCCGGGGUAGGGGUGAAAUCCGUUAAUCCCGGGAGGACCACCAGUGGCGAAGGCGGCCGGCCAGAACGCGCCCGACGGUGAGGGACGAAAGCUGGGGGAGCGAACCGGAUUAGAUACCCCUGUAGU